GAAAAUUUCAGAAAAUAGGGGAUUGGACUGCAAUUUUUGCUAGGGUUUCUUCUUCUUCUUUUUCCUCCUCCCAUGGCCGACCCUAACACCAUUGUUGCCUAUCUUCCACUCCGAUUUGCCUCCUUGCUCGUCGUCGACCGUCGACCACCGCCUUGUGGUCACCGCUUCAUCACCGUUGGUGAAGAAAAUCUCGAGGUUAUUGAACCCGAGAUCGAGGAUUAGAGCGAAUCUUUCAGAGUUCAUCGUUUAGACCAGGGUGAGGGAACUCGACAGAACUCCUCUUUCUUCUAUUCGCUUAGACAUAAUGAUAGGGAACGUAGAUAUCAUGCGGUUAGGAUUUUAGGAUAGACGCCUUAAAUUUUCUUGUGAAUUUAUGAUGCAUGUUGAUUGUUGAUUGAUGACUGAUGAGUGAUGAUUUAUGAUUGAUGACGAUUGAUAAUUGAUGAAUAAUGAAUGAUGAUUGAUGAUUGAUAAAUUUCUGUUGAGUGAUUAUGGCUUGUGACGUACAUGUUAUGUGAUGACGUUUUUUAAUGGAUUUAUUGGAUCGUUAGAAUGAGUUGAACUGGGGAUACUAAUUAAAUUUUGGCAUUAUGUUCGGAAAGAUAGGAGAAGUAAAGAAUUGAGUUAGGGACUGUGAUGUGACCUCAGACUAUGCUAAAAUAUUUUUAAAGUGAGUUUUGAGACCAUGGUACGGCGGCGAUCCGUAUGUGAUGGUAUGAUAACAACCCGAGCAUGGCUGCGAUCCAUGUGGAGUUAUAACCCUGACUACGGCGGCGAUCCGUAGAGGGUUACGACGAUUGGUUGAGUUUUGAAUCCAUGGUACGGCGGCGAUCCGUAUGUGAUGGCAUAACGAUCCGGGCAUGAUGGCGAUCCAUGUGGAGUGGUAACCCCGACUACGGCGGCGAUCCGUAGAGGGUUACAAAGAUAUUUUUGGUUUUGUUUUAUAAAAGAGUUUUGAGCUACGUUUGAGGGAUACUGAAUGGUCCUAGAGCCUGAAUUCGUUUUAAAUAAUCGAAUAAAGAAAAGAUAAGAGAAAAGUUGAAGAAAAAUGAGUUUGCUUGAGUUGAAUGUUGAUUGUAUUUGUUUUCUAUUUGAUUGUCUAUGUUGUGUACGGAGGCGAGGUUUAUAGUCUUGCGACUUCACUGAGCUAUUCGCGUAGCUCAUCCCUUCCUUUUUCCCACAGGUGAAAGCUGAAACAGAUUGUUUUGGUUGGACUCGAUAGUUGCCAGAAACACGAAGAAUUUGAUUUUCUAUUUUUACGAGUUUAGAAUUUUAGACUUAUGUUAUUUUAGACUUCCGCUGUAGACAUGUGAUUUUGAUGGUUGAUUUUAGAAUAAAUCGGAUUUUUUUUA